GAGUACUCCAGCUGACAGCUUCUUCCACAUAGCCACUAAAAAUCACCUUGAGACCAGUGCUCUGUGGGCUUGUGCUGCAUUCCCAGGCUGUGUGUUGCUGACGGCGUUCUGAUGCUGCUGUGUUCUUCUCCAGGAGGAUUAGACACUUCCUGAAUUACAUGUUGUCGGUCAUGAGGAGGUUUGUUUGCAUCUGAAUACUCUCAUGUUCAGAACGAGCAAUAAGAUGGGAGACUUUAUCAGAACUGGCCACUAAUUAACAGAAAUCACAGUAACUAUUGCAUAGAGGGAUCUUGUUAAAUCGAAAAGCAGAGUGAUCAGAGUGGCAAAGUGCUAAUUAAGCUCUGAAUGUGGGGGCUGCAUCAACAGAGCACAGGGAUGAUCCUUCGCUGUCUGUUUACAUCACUGCGGUGCAUUCUGGGAGGUCACCCCACAACCUGGGGCAGGCGUACUGUUCUGCUGCUCCGGGAAAAAAAAAAAUGUGGAGGGGCAGAGGAUCAGACAGACAGGAGUAACCAAGACUCAUUUCUACACAGAUGGACAUGUAAAAAGAGCACAAAUGGAGAAUUUUGAAGCAUCUUCAGACAACUUUUCAGACAACGGUGAUCAAAAGUGUUUUUUU
ensembl:lncRNA